GAUGAACGCUAGCGGCAGGCUUAAUACAUGCAAGUCGAGGGGUAGCAAGAUUGUAGCAAUACAAUUGUUGACGACCGGCAAACGGGUGCGGAACACGUACACAACCUUCCUACAAGUGGGGAAUAGCCCAGAGAAAUUUGGAUUAAUACCCCGUAACAUAGCGAUGUGGCAUCACAUUGCUAUUAUAGCUUCGGCGCUUGUUGAUGGGUGUGCGGCUGAUUAGAUAGUUGGAGGGGUAACGGCCCACCAAGUCUAAGAACAGUAGCUGAUGUGAGAGCAUGAUCAGCAACACGGGCACUGAGACACGGGCCCGACUCCUACUGGAGGCAGCAGUAAGGAAUAUUGGUCAAUGGACGAAAGUCUGAACCAGCCAUGCCGCGUGGAGGAUGAAGGUCCUCUGGAUUGUAAACUUCUUUUAUAUGGGACGAAAAAAGGGUUUUCUAACUCGUCUGACGGUACCAUAUGAAUAAGCACCGGCUAACUCCGUGCCAGCCGCCGCUGUAAAAC
rnacentral:rRNA from 1 species